ACAGCCCUGCCUGGGACUCAGGAGGCAGCUACAGGACAUUAUGACCUGCACAGCCUUUCUCCUCAGCCUCCUGGCUCAUUGCACAGGUUCUGUAGCCUCUUAUGUGCUGACUCAGCCAUUGUCAGUAUCAGUGACCCCAAGACAGACUGCCACAAUCACUUGUGAAGGCAACAACAUUGGCAGCUAUCUUGUGCACUGGUACCAGCAGAAGCCAGCACAGGCCCCUCUGCUGGUCAUCUAUGUAUACAGCAAGCAGCCCUCUGGGAUUCCUGACCAAUUCUCUGGCUCCAACUCUGGGAACACAGCCACCCUGACCAUCAGUGGGGCCCAGGCUGGAGACGAGGCUGACUAUUACUGUCAGGUGGAGGAUAGCAAUGCUGCUCACAGUGACACAGGCAGACAAGGAAGUGAGACAAAAACCUGCCACCAGCAUGGCACCCAAGGCCCUUUCCUACCCUGGUCACCCUGUCAGCAAAGAGCCUGCAGCAUGGAGUGGGGAAAGACUCUACUUCUACUCUUUCCCUAG